rnacentral:rRNA from 1 species
GACGAACGCUGGCGGCGUGCUUAACACAUGCAAGUCGAACGGAAAGGCCCUGCUUUUGUGGGGUGCUCGAGUGGCGAACGGGUGAGUAACACGUGAGUAACCUGCCCUUGACUUUGGGAUAACUUCAGGAAACUGGGGUUAAUAUCGGAUAGGAGCUCCUGCUGCAUGGUGGGGGUUGGAAAGUUUCGGCGGUUGGGGAUGGACUCGCGGCUUAUCAGCUUGUUGGUGGGGUAGUGGCUUACCAAGGCUUUGACGGGUAGCCGGCCUGAGAGGGUGACCGGCCACAUGGGGACUGAGAUACGGCCCAGACUCCUACGGGAGGCAGCAGUGGGGAAUAUUGCACAAUGGGCGGAAGCCUGAUGCAGCAACGCCGCGUGCGGGAUGACGGCCUUCGGGUUGUAAACCGCUUUCGCCUGUGACGAAGCGUGAGUGACGGUAAUGGGUAAAGAAGCACCGGCUAACUACGUG